GACAGGCGCUCCGGCUUUCCCGCCCAAAUGUUGUAUUUUCCAAGCCUACCCUUGCCGGCCACGCCCCCAACCUAGGCCUAUAAAAACCGCCCCCCGCAGGCCCUAGCGGGCAGACAGACUGAAGUCGCUAGACGUCUGAGGAACACAUCCGGGGAAGAAGACACAGGUGGCUGGUCAUCGAGAGCCCGCUGGGGGAAGAGCACACAGACAGGCACCGGCAGGCCAUUGACCAGCGGGACAAGGUGGGCUCACUGUCAUCACAAGGGUGCUUAAGAGGGAAAGAGGAAGCCAUGAGGGUCAGAGUCAAAGGAAGGCUUGAAGAUACUACACUGCGGACUUUAAAGAUGAAGGAAGGGGCGAAAACCAAGAAUGUGGGAAGCCUCUAGAAGCUAGAGAAGGCAAGGAAACAAAUUUUCCACUAGAGCCUCCAGAAGGAACACAGCCCUGCUGACCCACUGUAAUGUCUGACCUCUAGAUGUGUAAGGGUAGUAAGACUGAAAGUCUCAGAAAGGCACUGUUAAAUUCUUAUUCCACAACUAUGCAACUCAAAACUGGGGUCCUCAGCGGUGAGCGAGGGGUGAGAGAAGACACUGUAUAAACAUGGCACAUCCUCCUGGGAAGUCAACUUUACUCAAAGGCUGCAGGCCGUAUUAUGCUAAAUCAAGGGUAUGGGGAGAUAAUUAACAUAGCAACUCUGGCAAGUUUAAUAGGUUCUUACACACAGUGACAGCUAGCAGAGUCUAAAAUGCUGACAUUGUGACUUAGAGAUGUGAUAAAGAGAAACAUCUAUUGCAUUUUCUGUGACAGUCUCAUGUUGGCCAUGGGGUACUCUCUGCGUCAUGCUAGAAAGAGUUUAUGGUCCCACCUGCAUCCAGGAGAAAGAGAAAACAAAGCUUCAAUUUUAAGUCCUUAGAAAUUCCAUGCCAUUAAGAAACUGCUACUGCCAGCUUUCUGGCGUUAUUUAAAGAGGUAAAAAGUUCAUUACACUAGUGUUCUUAUAAGUGUUGGUUUUAUUUCAUAUUAUUUGAAGAGCUAUU